GCAAGUCGAGCGCUACCUUCGGGUGGAGCGGCGGACGGGUUAGUAACGCGUGGGAACGUACCCAGAUCUAAGGAAUAGCCACUGGAAACGGUGAGUAAUACCUUAUACGCCCUUCGGGGGAAAGAUGUAUCGGAUUUGGAUCGGACCGAGUUAGAUUAGAGAGGUGGUGGGGUAAUGGCCUACAAAGUCUACGAUCUAUAGCUGGUUUUAGAGGAUGAUC
rnacentral:rRNA from 1 species